rnacentral:tRNA from 1 species
GCUAGUGUAGCUUAAUACAAAGCAUAGCACUGAAGAUGCUAAGAUGGGCCGUAAAACGCCCCAUGCGCA